rnacentral:rRNA from 2 species
AGACCCGAAACCCGGUGAUCUAGCCAUGGGCAGGUUGAAGGUUGGGUAACACUAACUGGAGGACCGAACCGACUAAUGUUGAAAAAUUAGCGGAUGACCUGUGGCUGGGGGUGAAAGGCCAAUCAAACCGGGAGAUAGCUGGUUCUCCCCGAAAGCUAUUUAGGUAGCGCCUCGUGAAUUCAUCUCCGGGGGUAGAGCACUGUUUCGGCUAGGGGGCCAUCCCGGCUUACCAACCCGAUGCAAACUGCGAAUACCGGAGAAUGUUAUCACGGGAGACACACGGCGGGUGCUAACGUCCGUCGUGAAGAGGGAAACAACCCAGACCGCCAGCUAAGGUCCCAAAGUCAUGGUUAAGUGGGAAACGAUGUGGGAAGGCCCAGACAGCCAGGAUGUUGGCUUAGAAGCAGCCAUCAUUUAAAGAAAGCGUAAUAGCUCACUGGUCGAGUCGGCCUGCGCGGAAGAUGUAACGGGGCUAAACCAUGCACCGAAGCUGCGGCAGCGAACGUAUCACCCAAGACAACUUUACGGAGUUGACGAUUGACGGAGCGAAGCGACGUCAAAGCGUUCAUUAAAGUCGAGUUGGCUUAGGGAUACGUUCGUUGGGUAGGGGAGCGUUCUGUAAGCCUGUGAAGGUGUGUCGUGAGGCAUGCUGGAGGUAUCAGAAGUGCGAAUGCUGACAUAAGUAACGAUAAAGCGGGUGAAAAGCCCGCUCGCCGGAAGACCAAGGGUUCCUGUCCAACGUUAAUCGGGGCAGGGUGAGUCGACCCCUAAGGCGAGGCCGAAAGGCGUAGUCGAUGGGAAACGGGUUAAUAUUCCCGUACUUGGUGUUACUGCGAAGGGGGGACGGAGAAGGCUAUGUUGGCCGGGCGACGGUUGUCCCGGUUUAAGCGUGUAGGUGUGUGUUCCAGGUAAAUCCGGUUCACUUUAACACUGAGGCGUGACGACGAGGCACUACGGUGCUGAAGCAACAAAUGCCCUGCUUCCAGGAAAAGCCUCUAAGCAUCAGGUAACACGAAAUCGUACCCCAAACCGACACAGGUGGUCAGGUAGAGAAUACCAAGGCGCUUGAGAGAACUCGGGUGAAGGAACUAGGCAAAAUGGUGCCGUAACUUCGGGAGAAGGCACGCUGACACGUAGGUGAAGUGAUUUACUCAUGGAGCUGAAGUCAGUCGAAGAUACCAGCUGGCUGCAACUGUUUAUUAAAAACACAGCACUGUGCAAACACGAAAGUGGACGUAUACGGUGUGACGCCUGCCCGGUGCCGGAAGGUUAAUUGAUGGGGUCAGCGUAAGCGAAGCUCCUGAUCGAAGCCCCGGUAAACGGCGGCCGUAACUAUAACGGUCCUAAGGUAGCGAAAUUCCUUGUCGGGUAAGUUCCGACCUGCACGAAUGGCGUAAUGAUGGCCAGGCUGUCUCCACCCGAGACUCAGUGAAAUUGAACUCGCUGUGAAGAUGCAGUGUACCCGCGGCAAGACGGAAAGACCCCGUGAACCUUUACUAUAGCUUGACACUGAACAUUGAGCCUUGAUGUGUAGGAUAGGUGGGAGGCUUUGAAGUGUGGACGCCAGUCUGCAUGGAGCCGACCUUGAAAUACCACCCUUUAAUGUUU